rnacentral:rRNA from 1 species
GGUCCAGACUCCUACGGGAGGCAGCAGUGAGGAAUAUUGGUCAAUGGGCGCGAGCCUGAACCAGCCAAGUCGCGUGAGGGAUGAAGGAUCUAUGGUUCGUAAACCUCUUUUAUAAGGGAAUAAAGUGCGGGACGCGUCCCGCUUCGCAUGUACCUUAUGAAUAAGGAUCGGCUAACUCCGUGCCAGCAGCCGCGGUAAUACGGAGGAUCCGAGCGUUAUCCGGAUUUAUUGGGUUUAAAGGGUGCGCAGGCGGAAGCGCAAGUCAGCGGUAAAAUUGAGGGGCUCAACCUCGCUCCGCCGUUGAAACUGGCGUUCUUGAGUGGGCGAGAAGUAUGCGGAAUGCGUGGUGUAGCGGUGAAAUGCAUAGAUAUCACGCAGAACCCCGAUUGCGAAGGCAGCAUACCGGUGCACAACUGACGCUCAGGCACGAAAGCGUGGGUAUCGAACAGGAUUAGAUACCCCUGUAC